ACACCCCAAGUCUGGAAUUGAGGCUCGAGUCUGAGUUUUGCCUUUUCCACUUUUUAGCUAUAGAACUUUGAACAGAUCACAAAUUUUCUGAGACAGUUUCCUUCUUUGUAAACUGCGGAUAAUAACAUGCAGAAACACUAGGUAACUGAUGUUCUAUAAAGCGUUAAGUGACGUUACCACAUGUAGAGUCUGGAACACAGAAGACAAGUCCAAAGAGCCUGACGAAGGAAUCCACGACUUUUCCAUUGAAAUUAUAAGAAUGAUCUUUCAAGUGGAAAUUGUACCGGGAACUAAGGUUCUGGCCAAAAGUUUUGAGAUGGACUCACAGGAAAAGCUUACGGAGAUGUUCUGGCAGGGCGGAAACCCACACGGAGCGGACUCUUCUUCCAGCCAAGAAUCCUACAGGGGCACUGAGUCAGGUGUAAAUUCCUUGUGCUGCCUGCUUUCCCCAUGGCAUGGACAUUUACUGUACGGGGCAGCAUAGCAGCCUUUCUCCUCCUUUGGGGAACAGCACUGUGAGUUCCUUCUCACUGCUGACCUCUCAGUAAUGUCAGAGUAUCCUGCUGCCCCCCGCCCCCCCGGCCAAGAGGUGGAUGCAUGACUCAACUUAGGUAAGUGUGACUCUAACACUUGAGCAGAAGUGACAAGAGUGAAGUCCAGUGUUUAGCAGCAGAGCCCUGAGA
rnacentral:lncRNA from 1 species